CACGUAGGGUGCGAGCGUUGUCCGGAAUUAUUGGGCGUAAAGAGCUCGUAGGCGGUUUGUCGCGUCUGCUGUGAAAGACCGGGGCUCAACUCCGGUUCUGCAGUGGGUACGGGCAGACUAGAGUGCAGUAGGGGAGACUGGAAUUCCUGGUGUAGCGGUGAAAUGCGCAGAUAUCAGGAGGAACACCGAUGGCGAAGGCAGGUCUCUGGGCUGUAACUGACGCUGAGGAGCGAAAGCAUGGGGAGCGAACAGG
rnacentral:rRNA from 1 species